AAAUAAAUAUAUUAGGUCCAAAUUACAACUGCUUGUUUCAUCAAAACACCAUACAAAAGAUAAAUUUGUUGAUUCUUGUGAAAGGAAUGCAUGCCAAUGGCUGAUGCAGAGUCUUCUUGUCAGGGUAACCAUCCUGGCAUGUAAUUAUUCACACUUGGCCCAGCAGUCACUACUGUUAUUGGAUCAGGCUGGUAUCCAAUUUGUAAAGUGGGUUCACACCCCAGUGGAUGAAAGAAGCCAUCUCCCUGAGGUUGAGCUGCUUGGCCGCCAAACUCCACUUCUUCUGCACUUGGAUUCAACUGCAUUGAAUUUAUUUGGUAUCCUUCCACAAGCCUUUGUUUCAGGGUCUUAUUUGCUUCGUUCAGCAUGUGUUCCUUGCGUUGUAGGUCAGUGAGCUGAUCCAGCAUGCAUUGGGUCCUCGUUGAUCUGAUCUGCUUUAAUGACAUAUCAAGCUGCCUUUCAAGUGACUCAAGCUCCUUGCUGCUUAGAGGGCCAAGAUCUUCUCCCAGAAGAUUUCUUUGAGACCGUUGCAGGGCUUCAUAGCGAGCUUUUAGUUUCAGAUAUUCCUGCUGACUACUUAGCUCCAGAGCCUCCCUUGUGGAUAUAUUUGUUUCUGGUGCUCCAUAAUUGCAUUUCUGGUACCUCUCAAGUGUUUUGAGCAUGCUUGAACUACUGCAAAACUCGUACAGUUUUCCUCUAUUAGAGAAGAUGAUGAGAGCAACUUCAGCAUCGCAAAGAACCGAAAGUUCAUAAGCUUUCUUCAAAAGCCCA
rnacentral:misc_RNA from 1 species